UUCAUAAAUCCUCUAUUAGUUCUGUGGAAUCGGCCGCGUUUGGCUACCUCUUUGACGAAUACUUGUUAAAUAUAAUGUCAUGAUUCCAGGGAGUGAGGAGGGGUCGCUUUAUGCCUCCCGCACUUCUCUCCUGCAGAAGUCUGUCCUGGCGGGUGAAGCAGAAAGAAUACUGCCUACAUGUGAGAAGAUUCAUAGCAGGCUGCGAUGAUGGGGGCAUUUCAGGAUCCAGACGAGGGGGCAGGUAGAACGCGAUGUCUCCCGGCACCUUGAUGCCAAGGGGGUCGGGGAGAGACCCCAGAAGGAAGCAGAAGUGCGGCGGGGACUGCCGCUGACAGACCUUGGCACAGCCCAGAGCCCCUCUCCACCCGUGGGGAGUUAGCGCGUGUGUGCGCGAGAGCUGCCGGCGGCGGCGGGAGGAGGCGCAGGCGCGCUGCUCGCCAGUCUGCAGCCCCGCGCCGAGCCCCGCGCCGAGCGCCGCGUCUCGGGAGUUGAUGGCAGCACCACAGUGCGGACGCCUGGCCGAUCGCGGAGCGCAGCCAUCCGCCGCUGCCCAGGGAGCGCCCAAGAUGUGGGGGGACUGGGGUGGAAGCGUCUGUAGCAGCUCCAGAGACGGGGGCGCGCAGCAGCCUUUGCUCGCCCGCCUGUCCUGACCUGCGUCGCUUGCCCCCAAAGAAUGUCAGCCAAGUCCAAGGGGAACCCCUCCUCGUCCUCUCCAGCAGAGGGACAGCCGGCAGCCUCCAAAACCAAGGUGAAGGAACAAAUCAAGAUCAUCGUGGAGGAUCUGGAAUUAGUCCUGGGCGACCUGAAGGACGUGGCCAAAGAACUUAAGGAGGUGUGUGGCACAAGCAUGUAAUCCCAGUGGCUUGGGAGGCUGAGACAGGAGGAUUCAAGUUCAAAGACAGCCUCAGCAGAUUAGUAAGGCCCUACACAAUUUAGUGAGACCCUUUCACAACAACAACAACAACAACAAAAAGAGCUGGGGAUGUGGUUUAGUGGGUAAGUCCUGCAGGAUUUAAUCCCUGGUACAAAAAAAAUUUUUUUCUCCUCUCUUUCAUAUACCAUCAUAUUUUACUUUCCAUAGAUGAUUCCUAUCAGCAUACAAAUAGGGAAAAAGAUAAUAAUAAAUCCCCUAAAAUAAAUAAAUUUUAGGGAAUCCACUUCUCCUAAAAAUUAUCAUUAUACUUUUAAUUCCCCUUUACAAAAAAAUUGAAAUUAUAUAUACUUGUUAUCACCUGUUCUUUCCUAAAUCCACUCCAGUCAGGUCUGUACUCUCAACACUAUACCAAAACUGCCUCUACUAGGUUGUCAAUGGCUCUGUUAUUUAAUUAAAUGGUUCUCACUUCUAAUAUUAAGUCACCUAUUGGUAGCACUUGAUAGUCUUUUUUAUUAAUCUUUCUUCACUUGUCUUGAAGAAUUUGCAGACUAUCUCACCUCACUGAUUUUUCUUUCUCUGAUGUCUUUACUUACUCUUCCUCUGGGAUAUCUUAUCCCAAUUUUUUAAAUCUUUUUUUUUUUAAUUACACUUGUUUUCUUGGUCCUUUUAUUUGGUCUUGUGUAUAAAUUCCACCACUAAGUCUAUGACUCUGAAAUCUGUAUAUUCAGCCCAGACGUUUUAUCUGAACUUGUAUAGCCAAUAUUUUAUUCUUUAUCUCUACUCGGACGCCUAAGAGGCAUCUUCACCUCACAGUAUCCAAAACUGGAUUCGGAUCUCCAGUGUUCCGAAUGGUAAUCUUGCAGCUUUAUGAAUAAAUGUGCUAUGUGCAUUUUCAUGCCUAAGAUGCUCUUGAGAUAACUCUUUAACCUCAUUCAAAUUUUGCUCAAUGGUCACCUCACUGAGGCCUAUUCUGGUAACAAUGUAUGUAAUUAUAGCUCUUGUUUUACAUUUUCUCUUUUCUUAGUACUAAUCAGCUUUUGACACACUGAACAACUUAUUUCACAUAUGAAUUAUUGUUCGUUUCCCACUUCUAGAAUGCCAUCUCCUAGAUGUUGAUGUCCUCUGUUUUGUUUCUUUGUGUAUCCAAAGUUUGUAGAACAGUGGCUUACAUGCAGUGGAUGCUCAUUAAGUGAAACUAAUAAAUAACUGGAUCUUUUCCAACUCAAAACUUAUGCUCUAAAAUAUCUUAAGAUCAAAGCUAUCACCUUUUACUUUCCAUCGGAUAGUCACAAUUUGCACAGAAUUAUCAUAUAAUAGAUAUUUAUUAAAUGCAUUUCAUGUGGGCUCUUGUCUAUUACAUAUUGGAGGGAUGUGUGCGUUGGCUGGAGGGAGCUUGUGUUAACCCGCCUUUGAUGGCAUAAUGUAUUACUCUUGAUAUACCUAUUC